AUUGAACGCUGGCGGCAUGCCUUACACAUGCAAGUCGAACGGCAGCACGGGUGCUUGCACCUGGUGGCGAGUGGCGAACGGGUGAGUAAUAUAUCGGAACAUACCCAGUAAUGGGGGAUAACUAUCCGAAAGGAUAGCUAAUACCGCAUACGCCCUAAGGGGGAAAGAGGGGGAUCGCAAGACCUCUUGUCAUUGGAGUGGCCGAUAUCUGAUUAGCUAGUUGGUAGGGUAAAAGCCUACCAAGGCGACGAUCAGUAGCUGGUUUGAGAGAACGACCAGCCACACUGGAACUGAGACACGGUCCAGACUCCUACGGGAGGCAGCAGUGGGGAAUUUUGGACAAUGGGCGCAAGCCUGAUCCAGCAAUGCCGCGUGAGUGAAGAAGGCCCUCGGGUUGUAAAGCUCUUUUGUCAGGGAAGAAAAGGUGCUCUCUAAUACAGGUCACUCAUGACGGUACCUGAAGAAUAAGCACCGGCUAACUACGUGCCAGCAGCCGCGGUAAUACGUAGGGUGCAAGCGUUAAAUCGGAAUUACUGGGCGUAAAGCGUGCCCGGGCGCUUAUACAGUUUAGAUGGGCAAUUCCCGUGGCCCCAUUUGGGACCUGCACUGUGAAUAUGUUCGGUUUAAGCGUGCAAGACUGGGGUCUCUUCUCCCCCGUACUCUUCUAUUUCUUCGUCUUCUCCUCCACCCCUCUUUUCCGCCUCUCU
rnacentral:rRNA from 1 species